rnacentral:lncRNA from 1 species
CAACAAUGGGAUCUAUAUUAUUUAGCAUUAGUCUUCCUAUUAUCUUUCUUAUCUCCUAUAUUUCUAUCAUUAUUCGUCUAAACUCUAAAUGGUCAUUAAGCACAUGUACUCAACUUUUAAACACUAACAGUGGUAUGGUGUUUUGGUUUAACCUUCUAUUUAAAUGACCAUUUUACCCGUUUAAGUGAUCGCCUUGUCUGAGGCUAAAAGAUAUGUAACUGAUUGUUUGUCAUUUGAUGUUAGGAUCUAGUACUAAUUAAUUUUGCCUCCGUUUAACUACUUGUUUUACUGUGAUUCUUUUCCUGGCCAAAGAAAUAGAUUGAUCAGGUAAAGGUUAGGGGCUUGAGAAUAAUUAAUUUCUCUUUAUUUUUUUCUGGUUUUUUUGUCGUAAAUGUUUAUUUUGGUGCUACGUACACCUUUGUCAUAUAAUAUUUUGACACACAUGAUUGUUUUUGAUUUGCAUGCCCCCCUAUGUUUAAAUCCUGGCUCCGCCCUGGCUGUUGGAUCACAAUAAUCACGUGAACCUUUGCACAUGUCUCAUCCCAUUAUAUUGUUUGACAUUCCUGUGGGCUUAAGGUUUUGUUCGGUUGUGGAAUAAGAGAUGGGGACACGUGUUCCUGCUCUAUAUUUGGUUGGAAGGACGAAAAUGAAGAGGCACCAUUAUUUGUGAUCCAUUAAACAUCUGUUAAUUAAUAAGUGCGCCACAUGUCAUUCAUCCACAUCAUCCUCUUCUUCUUUUUUUUCACAUGGUCAGCCAACUGUACUCAAUCGUCCCGUCCUACCUACAGCUGUAGGGCACGACUGAGCUCAGACCGGGGGCAGUGGCGGAGGGAGGAAUAAUUUUCAGGUGUCACUACGUGAAAAAAGCACUAUGAGAACGCCACCCCCCUCCACUCUAAAUGGUCAUUAAGCACGUGUACUCAACUUUUAAACACUAACAGUGGUAUGGUGUUUUGGUUUAACCUUCUAUUUAAAUGACCAUUUUACCCGUUUAAGUGAUCGCCUUGUCUGAGGCUAAAAGAUAUGUAACUGAUUGUUUGUCAUUUGAUGUUAGGAUCUAGUACUAAUUAAUUUUGCCCCCGUUUAACUACUUGUUUUACUGUGAUUCUUUUCCUGGCCAAAGAAAUAGAUUGAUCAGGUAAAGGUUAGGGGCUUGAGAAUAAUUAAUUUCUCUUUAUUUUUUUCUGGUUUUUUUGUCACAAAUGUUUAUUUUGGUGCUAUGUACACCUUUGUCAUGGAAUAUUUUGACACACAUGAUUGUUUUUGAUUUGCACGCCCUCCUAUGUUUAAAUCCUGGCUCCGCCCCUGGCUGUUGGAUCACAAUAAUCACGUGAACCUUUGCACAUGUCUCAUCCCAUUAUAUUGUUUGACAUUCCUGUGGGCUUAAGGUUUUGUUCGGUUGUGGAAUAAGAGAUGGGGACACGUGUUCCUGCUCUAUAUUUGGUUGGAAGGACGAAAAUGAAGAGGCACCAUUAUUUGUGAUCCAUUAAACAUCUGUUAAUUAAUAAGUGCGCCACAUGUCAUUCAUCCACAUCAUCCUCUUCUUCUUUUUUUUCCACAUGGUCAGCCAACUGUACUCAAUCGUCCCGUCCUACCUACAGCUGUAGGGCACGACUGAGCUCACACCGGGGGCAGUGGCGGAGGGAGGAAUAAUUUUCAGGUGUCACUACGUGAAAAAAGCACUAUGAGAACGCCACCCCCCUCCACUGUAGAGGCAGCUA